rnacentral:rRNA from 1 species
UACGUAGGCAGCAAGCGUUGUUCGGAGUUACUGGGCGUAAAGGGUGUGUAGGCGGUUCUCUAAGUCUGGUGUGAAAUCUCCCGGCUCAACUGGGAGGGUGCGCCGGAAACUGGAGAGCUAGAGUACUGGAUGGGAGAGUGGAAUUCCUGGUGUAGCGGUGAAAUGCGUAGAUAUCAGGAGGAACACCUGUGGCGAAAGCGGCUCACUGGACCAUAACUGACGCUGAUGCACGAAAGCUAGGGGAGCAAACAGG